rnacentral:rRNA from 1 species
GACGAACGCUGGCGGCGUGCUUAACACAUGCAAGUCGAACGGAAAGGCCCUGCUUUUGUGGGGUGCUCGAGUGGCGAACGGGUGAGUAACACGUGAGUAACCUGCCCUUGACUUUGGGUUAACUUCAGGAAACUGGGGCUAAUACCGGAUAGGAGCUCCUGCUGCAUGGUGGGGGUUGGAAAGUUUCGGCGGUUGGGGAUGGACUCGCGGCUUAUCAGCUUGUUGGUGGGGUAGUGGCUUACCAAGGCUUUGACGGGUAGCCGGCCUGAGAGGGUGACCGGCCACAUUGGGACUGAGAUACGGCCCAGACUCCUACGGGAGGCAGCAGUGGGGAAUAUUGCACAAUGGGCGGAAGCCUGAUGCAGCAACGCCGCGUGCGGGAUGACGGCCUUCGGGUUGUAAACCGCUUUCGCCUGUGACGAGGCGUGAGUGACGGUAAUGGGUAAAGAAGCACCGGCUAACUACGUG